AUUGAACGCUGGCGGUAUGCUUAACACAUGCAAGUCGAACGGUAACAGGCCUUCGGGCGCUGACGAGUGGCGGACGGGUGAGUAACGCGUAGGAAUCUGCCUCAUAGUGGGGGACAACGUGUGGAAACGCACGCUAAUACCGCAUACGCCCUACGGGAGAAAGCGGGGGAACUUCGGGCCUCGCGCUAUGAGAUGAGCCUGCGUUAGAUUAGCUAGUUGGUAGGGUAAAGGCCGACCAAGGCGACGAUCUAUAGCUGGUCUGAGAGGACGAUCAGCCACACUGGGACUGAGACACGGCCCAGACUCCUACGGGAGGCAGCAGUGGGGAAUAUUGGACAAUGGGCGCAAGCCUGAUCCAGCAAUACCGCGUGUGUGAAGAAGGCCCUAGGGUUGUAAAGCACUUUCAAUAGGGAGGAAAACCUGUCGGUCAAUACCCGGCAGCUUGACAUUACCUAUACAAGAAGCACCGGCUAACUCCGUGCCAGCCGCCGCAGUAAUAC
rnacentral:rRNA from 1 species